CGGACGGGUGAGUAACACGUGGAUAACCUACCUAUAAGACUGGGAUAACUUCGGGAAACCGGAGCUAAUACCGGAUAAUAUAUUGAACCGCAUGGUUCAAUAGUGAAAGACGGUUUUGCUGUCACUUAUAGAUGGAUCCGCGCCGCAUUAGCUAGUUGGUAAGGUAACGGCUUACCAAGGUGACGAUGCGUAGCCGACCUGAGAGGGUGAUCGGCCACACUGGAACUGAGACACGGUCCAG
rnacentral:rRNA from 1 species